UGUGGGAGCGAGCCUGCUCGCGAUAGCGGUGGGCCAGUCGUCUUCCAUGUUGGAUGAAAAAUUGCUAUCGCGAGCAGGCUCGCUCCCACA
rnacentral:misc_RNA from 1 species